AGUGAACGCUGGCGGUAGGCCUAACCCAUGCAAGUCGAACGGCCGCACAGUAAGCGCUUGCCCCUACGGGUGGCGAGUGGCGGACGGGUGAGGAAUACAUCGGAAUCUACUUUUUCUUGGGGGAUAACGUAGGAAAACUUACGCUAAUACCGCAUAUGACCAACGGGUGAACGCAGUGGUUCUUACGACCUUGCCCGACAGAAUUAGCCGAUGUCGGAUUAGCUAGUCGGGGGGGUAAAGUCCCACCAAGGCGACGAUCCGUAGCUGACCUGAGAGGAUGAUCAGCCACACUGGAACUGAGACACGGUCCAGACUCCUACGGGAGGCAGCAGUGGGGAAUAUUCGACAAUGGGCGCAAGCCUGAUCCAGCAAUACCGCGUGAGUGAUGAAGGCCUUCGGGUUGUAAAGCCCUUUUGUUGGGAAAGAAAAGCUGUAGAUUAAACCCCCGCUGUUCUGACGGUACCCAAAGAGUAAGCACCGGCUAACUUCGUG
rnacentral:rRNA from 1 species